rnacentral:lncRNA from 1 species
GAAGCGGGCACGGCACGGCCGCUCCUUCCCCGGGCACCGCGGGUCGGGUCGGGCCGCCCCGAGUCAAACAUCCUUCCCCUCCCAGCCCCCCUCAGCUCCUGCACGAUGUAUUUUUAUUCCUUCGGAAUAAACCGACGGCUUUGUCGGAGCACAAAUUCACCCUUCCAACAGCGAAAAAGCCUCCCUCAGUCCCUUCCUUGCCGCGUGACAGCCCCGACGGCACCACGGUGUGCAGCCCGCAGCGCUCCGACGGCGCCCGCCUCAACCCCUUGUGAUUAUAUAAUAGCUCUCAAGAGGAAGCUGCUAACAAGCCCAUCUGAUAUUUUGUGCCAGCUGUUUUAGUGGAGGCGUGUUGGAUUAGACAGAACUCCGCCUUCUUUGACAAGGUAUAUUAUAUGAGUAACGCUGUAAAAUACAUUUCAAACAGAAUGAUAGUCUACUUAACUUCUUGGUACUCUUUUCGUUAAUUUC